UGAAUCAAUGGUGAUAACAGUUUCAUGGUUGGUUGGGUGAGUCAUGGCGACUGAAGGAAGGGGGAAGAAGAAGAAGAAGAAGAAGCGGCUAGUUUAUUUAGGGUUUUUGAAUCGAAAGCUCUGAUACCAUAUGUAAUGGGAAGCGUAAUCUUAUUAGAGCAUGCUGUUACAAUAUAUAUACAAGACUAGCUAGGGUUAC
rnacentral:lncRNA from 1 species